AUGGUGUUUCCUUCUCUUCUCUAGCGGAGAACUCAAUAUUAUGAAAUCAUUGAAAAGAUCGACGAAGCCCUUGGCCCAAGUGGGUUGGACAGAAGGCUGGUGGAGACGGCACCACCAACAAUCGAGGAUUUCCAGCUCCAGUCCUAUCUCGGCGAGGGAACUUUCGGAAAGGUCUACAAGGCGCAACAUAGAAAGUCCGGGAAGGUUGUUGCUAUCAAGGCCAUGGAAAUGCACAAUAUCAACAAGAUCCGUGCAUUUAAAAGG